rnacentral:tRNA from 1 species
GGGAUUGUGGCUCAGUGAUAGAGCACUUGCCUUGCAUGUGUGAGGCACUGAGUUCAAUCCUCAGCACCA